UACGUAGGGUGCGGGCGUUGCCCGGAUUUAUUGGGCGUAAAGGGCGCGUAGGCGGCUCGGCACGUCCGUUGUGAAAUCGCCCGGCUCAACUGGGCGGGGUCAGCGGAUACGGUCGAGCUUGAGCAAGCUAGGGGGUAAUGGAAUUCCCGGUGUAGUGGUGGAAUGCGUAGAUAUCGGGAGGAACACCAGUGGCGAAGGCGGUUACCUGGGGCUUUGCUGACGCUGAUGCGCGAAAGCGUGGGGAGCGAGUCCGG
rnacentral:rRNA from 1 species